rnacentral:misc_RNA from 1 species
UCAAACUUGGUCAUUUAGAGGAAGUAAAAGUCGUAACAAGGUUUCCGUAGGUUCGUACUACCCCUAUAACUCCUCUCACAACGAAUAUAAAACUAACUAAAUUACAGGUGAACCUGCGGAAGGAUCAUUACCGAGUUAGGGUCUCUCAGGCCCGACCUCCAACCCUUGUGUUUAACUAUACCACGUUGCUUCGGCAGGCCCGUCUUCUGGACCGCCGGGGGUGUCUCACCGCCUGGCCCGUUGCCUGUCGAUAGCCCCAACCUCAAAACUCUUGUUAAAAACUGUGUUGUCUGAGUCUACAAAAUAAAUUAAAACAAAACUUUCAACAACGGAUCUCUUGGUUCUGGCAUCGAUGAAGAACGCAGC